GCAUAGCAAGGGCAAACUCUAUGAAAGUGGAGGACGCAAAGUCAGGAGUCUAAAGUUUAAUUAACUUAAAUCAGUUACAAAGAAUUAAACCAAGAUCGUCCGACUGCCAAA
rnacentral:ncRNA from 1 species